CAGACGCCAGCAAGGUGGAGGUGGAGUACUGGUUUGGGCUGGUAUCAUCAAAGAUGAGCUUGUGGGGCCUUUUCGGGUUGAGGAUGGAGUCAAGCUCAACUCCCAGUCCUACUGCCAGUUCCUGGAAGACACCUUCUUCAAGCAGUGGUACAGGAAGAAGUCUGCAUCCUUCAAGAAAAACAUGAUUUUCAUGCAGGACAAUGCUCCAUCACACGCUUCCAAGUACUCC